rnacentral:rRNA from 1 species
GACGAACGCUGGCGGCGUGCCUAAUACAUGCAAGUAGAACGCUGAAGGAGGAGCUUGCUUCUCUGGAUGAGUUGCGAACGGGUGAGUAACGCGUAGGUAACCUGCCUGGUAGCGGGGGAUAACUAUUGGAAACGAUAGCUAAUACCGCAUAAUAGUAGAUGUCGCAUGACAUUUGCUUAAAAGGUGCAAUUGCAUCCCUACCAGAUGGACCUGCGUUGUAUUAGCUAGUUGGUGAGGUAACGGCUCACCAAGGCGACGAUACAUAGCCGACCUGAGAGGGUGAUCGGCCACACUGGGACUGAGACACGGCCCAGACUCCUACGGGAGGCAGCAGUAGGGAAUCUUCGGCAAUGGACGGAAGUCUGACCGAGCAACGCCGCGUGAGUGAAGAAGGUUUUCGGAUCGUAAAGCUCUGUUGUAAGAGAAGAACGAGUGUGAGAGUGGAAAGUUCACACUGUGACGGUAUCUACCA